CAGACGUCUACGGAAACAUUCAUUCCCAAGUUAGAAACUGCUAAGGAUCUUACGAAGACAUGGAGGAAAUAAAACAUCUAAUGAUUCUUGUCCUGGUAGCAGCAACUUUAACCCCAACUGCCGCACCAGGCCAAAGCACAUCACAGACCACCUCACCAACCACCACACCAGGCC